GGACGGGUGGCCGAGCGGCUUAAGGCAGCGGUUUGCUAAACCGCCGAGGGGGAUAACCCCUCGCGUGGGUUCGAAUCCCACCCCGUCCGCCA
rnacentral:tRNA from 1 species